UACGGAGGGUGCAAGCAUUAUCCGGAUUCACUGGGUUUAAAGGGUGCGUAGGCGGGCAGGUAAGUCAGUGGUGAAAUCUCCGAGCUUAACUCGGAAACUGCCAUUGAUACUAUUUGUCUUGAAUAUUGUGGAGGUAAGCGGAAUAUGUCAUGUAGCGGUGAAAUGCUUAGAUAUGACAUAGAACACCAAUUGCGAAGGCAGCCUACUACACAAUGAUUGACGCUGAGGCACGAAAGCGUGGGGAUCAAACAGG
rnacentral:rRNA from 1 species